GCGGAUGUGGCGGAAUUGGCAGACGCGCAGGCUUCAGGUGCCUGAGAGUGGAAACGCUCGUGGAGGUUCAAAUCCUCUCAUCCGCA
rnacentral:tRNA from 1 species